rnacentral:misc_RNA from 1 species
AAGUCGUAACAAGGUUUCCGUAGGUGAACCUGCGGAAGGAUCAUUAACACGUAUCCAAACGUUAAACCCCCCUGUGAACCUUCAGUCGUACUCGUACGUCCGUGAGAAAAAGAGCAAUCCCUGGUAAAUCAUCGCCGAACAGUUUUCGAUUCAGGCAUGUUGUGCGUGUAAGUGGCCUGGCAUCCCCAAGCAGUUAGUGUCUGAAAGUGUCACUAACGUUAGUGUCUGAAAGUGUCACUAACAUGUGUAAGGAUGACGCAGUCAGGCCGACGACCGGGUCACCGGGUGCAAGCCCUCUUCUCACACCCCUGCUCUAUCUAUGGUGAUCCUGCGGGAAGUCCUGCGGUCGAACGCCGAAACCGAACAACUGUUAACAAUGGAUAUCUUGGUUCUC